rnacentral:rRNA from 1 species
UGCAAGUCGAGCGCAGGAGCCGUCUGAUCCCUUCGGGGGGACGACGGUGGAAUGAGCGGCGGACGGGUGAGUAACACGUAAAGAACCUGCCCAUAGGUCUGGGAUAACCACGAGAAAUCGGGGCUAAUACCGGAUGUGUCAUCGGACCGCAUGGUCCGCUGAUGAAAGGCGCUCCGGCGUCGCCCAUGGAUGGCUUUGCGGUGCAUUAGCUAGUUGGUGGGGUAACGGCCCACCAAGGCGACGAUGCAUAGCCGACCUGAGAGGGUGAUCGGCCGCACUGGGACUGAGACACGGCCCAGACUCCUACGGGAGGCAGCAGUAGGGAAUCUUCCACAAUGGACGAAAGUCUGAUGGAGCAACGCCGCGUGAACGAUGAAGGCUUUCGGGUCGUAAAGUUCUGUUGUAAGGGAAGAACAAGUGCCGCAGGCAAUGGCGGCACCUUGACGGUACCUUGCGAGAAAGCCACGGCUAACUACGUGCCAGCAGCCGCGGUAAUACGUAGGUGGCAAGCGUUGUCCGGAAUUAUUGGGCGUAAAGCGCGCGCAGGCGGCCUCUUAAGUCUGAUGUGAAAGCCCCCGGCUCAACCGGGGAGGGCCAUUGGAAACUGGGAGGCUUGAGUAUAGGAGAGAAGAGUGGAAUUCCACGUGUAGCGGUGAAAUGCGUAGAGAUGUGGAGGAACACCAGUGGCGAAAGCGACUCUUUGGCCUAUAACUGACGCUGAGGCGCGAAAGCGUGGGGAGCAACAGGAUUAGAUACCCUGGUAGUCCACGCCGUAAACGAUGAGUGCUAGUGUUGGGAGGGUUUCCGGCCCUUUCAGUGCUGAAGCUAACGCAUUUAAGCACUCCGCCUGGGG